AGCGGUCUGAGGCUGACCUAGGU
rnacentral:piRNA from 1 species